rnacentral:rRNA from 1 species
UACGGGGGGGGCAAGCGUUGUUCGGAAUUACUGGGCGUAAAGGGCUCGUAGGCGGCCAACUAAGUCGGAUGUGAAAUCCCCAGGCUCAACCUGGGAACUGCAUCCGAUACUGGAUGGCUUGAAUUCGGGAGAGGGAUGCAGAAUUCCAGGUGUAGCGGUGAAAUGCGUAGAUAUCUGGAGGAAUACCGGUGGCGAAGGCGGCAUCCUGGACCGACAUUGACGCUGAGGAACGAAAGCUAGGGGAGCAAACGGGG